AUCAAUUAGAAACUUUCAAGCUAACUUUCCAGUGCUCUAAAAGUCCUCAAGAUCUAUUAUUUAUAAAAAUCUACCUUCCAACUGCCGAUCACUAUGAUCAAGCUGUAAUCUUGACUUAAGCACAUGGCUAGGAUGAACAUCUGUUGUAAUCACAUGCACAAUGGAAUCGGAAACUUUCAAGCUGACUUUUCAAUACUCUAAAAAGUCCCCAAGAUCUAUUAUUUUUUAAAAUCUAUCUGCCCAGUAAAGUGAAAGGCAAAUGAGCAGGGGAGGCAGAGGGGCAAGAAGUCGCUUUAGCUUUUGUCUUUCCAAGGACUUGGCAACGUUUCUAGAGCUGAUGCUAUGAUGAAAUGCACCCAUUACACUCUGCAAAAUGGUUGAUGUUAAGAAAGGCAUCCAGUUACAGGAAAAAAAUCCAAAAUUAUGUGUAUAAGUAUCAGACUAUGAGAGCAAUAGUUCCUAAUAAGAACUGACUUUGAUCAUGAUGACCAGUACAACCCAUGCCAGCAUGGAAAACAGAUGUAAAGUGACGAUGAUCUACCUUGAAAGGAUGAAAAGCAAAGUUGACCCCAGCAAAAUUUAAACUCAGAACGUUAUAUUAUGAUUAUUAUUGAGAAAUGCUAUCUUUCCUGACUGAUUAUCUCUCAUUUGGGGAACCAGAAAUAUACACAUAAGAAGAAGGAGACUGCUAAAUAAUAAAACGGAGGAAAAAGUGGUGAAAGCUGGGACAAGAUGCUGAACCUCAUGCAACAAAUGGCAAGGCCACUCCAACCCAUACAAUCACGGAGAAACGAACAUAAAAUGAUGAAGAUGAUUUGUAUAGUGUUUGUUCAGAAUUACGUUAUAAUGUUGUCUCUUUGUUGCCUUUGUGAUGAACAAAGAAAUUGCUAUGAAACAUACAGUAGCAUGCUGAUUAAAUGAAAUGCAGUAUUUAGUUUCGAGUUUUUGUUGUUUUUUAAUGCUCUGAUUCUAAUUCUGACGGAGUCAGCAUAGUUUUGACUUCGUUAAAUAGUCGAUAGAAUUACC